UACGGGGGAAAAAUUUAUUGCUAUUAGAUGAGCCUAUAUUAGAUUAGCUAGUUUGUGGAGUAAUAGCCUACCAAGGCAAUGAUCUAUAGCUGAUCUGAGAGGAUGAUCAGCCACACUGGAACUGAGAUACGGUCCAGACUCCUACGGGAGGCAGCAGUGGGGAAUAUUGGACAAUGGGCGAAAGCCUGAUCCAGCCAUGCCGCAUGAGUGAAGAAGGCCUUUGGGUUGUAAAGCUCUUUUAGUGAGGAAGAUAAUGACGGUACUCACAGAAGAAGUCCUGGCUAACUCCGUGCCAGCAGCCGCGGUAAUACGGAGAGGGCUAGCGUUAUUCGGAAUUAUUGGGCGUAAGGGGCGCGUAGGCGGAUUAGUAAGUUAAAAGUGAAAUCCCAAGGCUCAACCUUGGAAUUGCUUUUAAAACUGCUAAUCUAGAGAUUGAAAGAGGAUAGAGGAAUUCCUAGUGUAGAGGUGAAAUUCGUAAAUAUUAGGAGGAACACCAGUGGCGAAGGCGUCUAUCUGGUUCAAAUCUGACGCUGAGGCGCGAAGGCGUGGAGAGCAAACAGGAUUAGAUACCCUGGUAGUCCACGCUGUAAACGAUGAAUGUUAAAUAUGGGAAGUUUUACUUUCUGUAUUACAGCCAACGCGUUAAACAUUCCGCCUGGGGACUACGGUCGCAAGAUUAAAACUCAAAGGAAUUGACGGGGACCCGCACAAGCGGUGGAGCAUGUGGUUUAAUUCGAUGCAACGCGAAAAACCUUACCACUCCUUGACAUGGAAAUUAUACCUAUUCGAAGGGAUAGGGUC
rnacentral:rRNA from 1 species